rnacentral:rRNA from 1 species
CGGCACGGGUGAGUAACACGUAUCCAACCUGCCGUCUACUCUUGGACAGCCUUCUGAAAGGAAGAUUAAUACAAGAUGGCAUCAUGAGUUCACAUGUUCACAUGAUUAAAGGUAUUCCGGUAGACGAUGGGGAUGCGUUCCAUUAGAUAGUAGGCGGGGUAACGGCCCACCUAGUCUUCGAUGGAUAGGGGUUCUGAGAGGAAGGUCCCCCACAUUGGAACUGAGACACGGUCUAA